AACGAACGCUGGCGGCAUGCCUAACACAUGCAAGUCGAACGAGACCUUCGGGUCUAGUGGCGCACGUGUGCUUAACGCGUGGGAACCUGCCCUUAGGUUCGGAAUAACUCCCCGAAAGGGGUGCUAAUACCGGAUAAUGUCUUCGGACCAAAGAUUUAUCGCCUUUGGAUGGGCCCGCGUUGGAUUAGCUAGUGGGUAGGGUAAAAGCCUACCAAGGCGACGCUCCAUAGCUGGUCUGAGAGGAUGAUCAGCCACACUGGGACUGAGACACGGCCCAGACUCCUACGGGAGGCAGCAGUGGGGAAUAUUGGACUAUGGGCGAAAGCCUGAGACAGCAAUGCCGCGUGAGUGAUGAAGGCCUUAGGGUUGUAAAGCUCUUUUAGCCGGGAUGAUAAUGACAGUACCGGGAGAAUAAGCUCCGGCUAACUCCGUG
rnacentral:rRNA from 1 species